UAAGGAAGGAAGGGCGCACGGUGGAUGCCUUGGCACUAGGAGCCGAAGAAGGACGCGGCAAACGGCGAAACGCCUCGGGGAGCCGUAAGCAGGCGUAGAUCCGGGGAUUUCCGAAUGGGGGAACCCACCGUCCGUAAUGGGGCGGUAUCCAUGUCUGAAUCCAUAGGGCAUGGAGGGCAACCCGGGGAACUGAAACAUCUUAGUACCCGGAGGAGAAGAAAGCAACAGCGAUUCCCUGAGUAGCGGCGAGCGAAAGGGGAACAGCCCAAACCAAAGGGCUUUGCCCUUUGGGGUUGUAGGACACUCCAGAAGGAGUUACAAAAGAGCGGGGUAGGCGAAGCGGCCUGGAACGGCCCGUCGGAGAAGGUAAGAACCCUGUAGCCGAAACCCCGUUCUCUCCGGAGUGGAUCCUGAGUACGGCGGGACACGAGGAAUCCCGUCGGAAGCGGGGAGGACCAUCUCCCAAGGCUAAAUACUCCCUAGUGACCGAUAGUGAACCAGUACCGUGAGGGAAAGGUGAAAAGCACCCCGGGAGGGGAGUGAAAGAGAACCUGAAACCGUGUGCCUACAAGUAGUCAGAGUCCGAUGCACGGCAACGUGCCGGAUGAUGGCGUGCCUUUUGUAGAAUGAACCGGCGAGUUGCGAUGGCGUGCGAGGUUAAGGGGAAGACCCGGAGCCGCAGCGAAAGCGAGUCUGAAGAGGGCGAAGAGUACGUCGUCGCAGACCCGAAACCAGGUGAUCUACCCGUGUCCAGGGUGUGAAGGCAGGGUAACACCUGCUGGAGGCCCGAACCCACGUACGUUGAAAAGUGCGGGGAUGAGGUGCGGGUAGGGGUGAAAUGCCAAUCGAACCUGGAGAUAGCUGGUUCUCUCCGAAAUAGCUUUAGGGCUAGCCUCAAGCGGGAGAGUCUUGGAGGUAGAGCACUGUUUGGAUGAGGGGCCCGCCAAGGGUUACCGAGUUCAGAUAAACUCCGAAUGCCAAGACUUGCGCUUGGGAGUCAGACUGCGAGUGAUAAGAUCCGCAGUCGAGAGGGGAACAGCCCAGACCGCCAGUUAAGGUCCCAAAGUAUACGUUAAGUGGGAAAGGAUGUGGAGCUGCCGAGACAACCAGGAUGUUGGCUUAGAAGCAGCCAUCAUUCAAAGAGUGCGUAAUAGCUCACUGGUCGAGUGGCUCUGCGCCGAAAAUGUACCGGGGCUGAAACGUAUCACCGAAACUGCGGAUGGGCACGGAAGUGUCCAUGGUAGGAGAGCGUUCUAAACGCGGGGAAGCAAGACCGGGAGGACUUGUGGAGCGUUUAGAAGUGAGAAUGCCGGUAUGAGUAGCGAAAGAAGGGUGAGAAUCCCUUCCACCGAAAGCCUAAGGUUUCCUGAGGAAGGCUCGUCCGCUCAGGGUUAGUCGGGGCCUAAGCCGAGGCCGAAAGGCGUAGGCGAAGGGGAACAGGUGGAUAUUCCUGUACCACCCGGGAUCCGGUAUGAGCGAAGGGGGGACGCAGGAGGAUAGGGCAAGCGCGCGACUGGAAGAGCGCGUCCAAGCAGCGAGGGUGGCGGAUAGGCAAAUCCGUCCGCCAUGGAGCCUGAGCUGUGAUGGGGAGGGAAUGGAAGUACCGAAGUGCCCGAUUUCACACUGCCGAGAAAAGCCUCUAGCCAGGAUCCGGGUGCCCGUACCGGAAACCGACACAGGUAGGCGAGGAGAGAAUCCUAAGGUGAGCGAGAGAACCCUCGUUAAGGAACUCGGCAAAAUGACCCCGUAACUUCGGGAGAAGGGGUGCUCUUUCGGGUGAAGAGCCUGAAGGAGCCGCAGAGGAUAGGCCCAGGCGACUGUUUAACAAAAACACAGGUCUCUGCGAAGCCGAAAGGCGAAGUAUAGGGGCUGACGCCUGCCCGGUGCUGGAAGGUUAAGGGGAGGGCUUAGCGGCGACGCGAAGGUCCGAACCGAAGCCCCAGUAAACGGCGGCCGUAACUAUAACGGUCCUAAGGUAGCGAAAUUCCUUGUCGGGUAAGUUCCGACCCGCACGAAAGGCGUAACGAUCUGGGCGCUGUCUCAACGAGGGACUCGGUGAAAUUAUAGUACCUGUGAAGAUGCAGGUUACCCGCGACAGGACGGAAAGACCCCGUGGAGCUUUACUGCAGCCUGAUAUGGGACUUUGGUAUCGCUUGUACAGGAUAGGCAGGAGCCAGGGAAGCGUGGGCGCCAGCCUACGUGGAGGCGCAAGUGGGAUACUGCCCUGGCGGUAUUGAAGUUCUAACCCGCGCCCCUGAUCGGGGUGGGGGACAGUGUCAGGCGGGCAGUUUGACUGGGGCGGUCGCCUCCUAAAGGGUAACGGAGGCGCCCAAAGGUUCCCUCAGCGCGGUUGGAAAUCGCGCGGAGAGUGCAAAGGCAGAAGGGAGCUUGACUGCGAGACCGACAAGUCGAGCAGGGACGAAAGUCGGGCUUAGUGAUCCGGUGGUACCGGAUGGAAGGGCCAUCGCUCAACGGAUAAAAGCUACCCCGGGGAUAACAGGCUGAUCUCCCCCAAGAGUCCACAUCGACGGGGAGGUUUGGCACCUCGAUGUCGGCUCGUCGCAUCCUGGGGCUGAAGUCGGUCCCAAGGGUUGGGCUGUUCGCCCAUUAAAGCGGCACGCGAGCUGGGUUCAGAACGUCGUGAGACAGUUCGGUCCCUAUCCGUCGCGGGCGCAGGAAAUCUGAGAGGGGCUGUCCUUAGUACGAGAGGACCGGGAUGGACGCACCGCUGGUGUACCAGUUGUCCCGCCAGGGGCACCGCUGGGUAGCCAAGUGCGGAAGGGAUAAGCGCUGAAAGCAUCUAAGCGCGAAGCCCGCCUCAAGAUGAGAUUUCCCAUCCUUUCGGGGCGACCCGAAAGGAGUAAGAUCCCUUGAAGAAGACGAGGUAGAUAGGUCCGGGGUGGAAGCACGGCGACGUGUGGAGCUGACGGAUCCUAAUCGAUCGAGGACUUAACCG
rnacentral:rRNA from 1 species